rnacentral:rRNA from 1 species
GACGAACGCUGGCGGCGUGCUCAACACAUGCAAGUCGAACGGAAAGGCCCUGCUUGCAGGGUACUCGAGUGGCGAACGGGUGAGUAACACGUGGGUGAUCUGCCCUGCACUUCGGGAUAAGCCUGGGAAACUGGGUCUAAUACCGGAUAGGAGCCAUUUUUAGUGUGAUGGUUGGAAAGUUUUUUCGGUGUAGGAUGAGCUCGCGGCCUAUCAGCUUGUUGGUGGGGUAAUGGCCUACCAAGGCGGCGACGGGUAGCCGGCCUGAGAGGGUGGACGGCCACAUUGGGACUGAGAUACGGCCCAGACUCCUACGGGAGGCAGCAGUGUGGAAUAUUGCACAAUGGGCGCAAGCCUGAUGCAGCGACGCCGCGUGGGGGAUGACGGCCUUCGGGUUGUAAACUCCUUUCGCUAGGGACGAAGCUUUUUGUGACGGUACCUAGAUAAGAAGCACCGGCUAACUACGU